GACGAACCGAGCGAACGUUGUUCGGAAUCACUGGGCUUAAAGGGCGCGUAGGCGGGUGCUCAAGUCCGGGGUGAAAUCCUCCAGCUCAACUGAAGAACUGCCUCGGAUACUGGGUGCUCGUGGUGAGGUGAGGAGGUAUGCGGAACUAUCGGUGGAGCGGUGAAAUGCGUUGAUAUCGAUAGGAACUCCGGUGGCGAAGGCGGCAUACUGGACCACUUCUGACGCUGAGGCGCGAAAGCCAGGGAGCAAACGGG
rnacentral:rRNA from 1 species